CACUGCUCGUGAAUUCGUGAGCAGCGCCGUACGGAGCCACCUCGGUAGAGCCAGGGGCCUCUACCAUACCCCAAUUCACUGCAUUCUGAGUGUAGUUGGGCUGCAUGUUUUGCAUUUUGCAGUGAAGAUGAUGGCUUCUGAAAACUCAUUGAAUUGCUCUUGGUAGUCCCCUGUGAUCAUAUGAAGGAAAUGCUACAUAUUUGUAAUCUGAUGUGGUUUGGACAUUGUAAUCCGAGUUUGGACAUUUUGGUUUGGAAAUGUUGUUAUCUAAUCUGUUUUGGAUAUUUUGGUCACUGAUAUGUUGUAAUCUGAUGUGGUUUGGACAUUGUAAUCCGAGUUUGGACAUUUUAUUUCUCCAUUUGAUGGUUUUUGGCUUGUA